rnacentral:rRNA from 1 species
GUGAGGAAUAUUGGUCAAUGGGCGAGAGCCUGAACCAGCCAAGUAGCGUGCAGGAUGACGGCCCUAUGGGUUGUAAACUGCUUUUAUAAGGGAAUAAAGUGAGAGUCGUGACUCUUUUUGCAUGUACCUUAUGAAUAAGGACCGGCUAAUUCCGUGCCAGCAGCCGCGGUAAUACGGAAGGUCCGGGCGUUAUCCGGAUUUAUUGGGUUUAAAGGGAGCGUAGGCCGGAGAUUAAGCGUGUUGUGAAAUGUAGACGCUCAACGUCUGCACUGCAGCGCGAACUGGUUUCCUUGAGUACGCACAAAGUGGGCGGAAUUCGUGGUGUAGCGGUGAAAUGCUUAGAUAUCACGAAGAACUCCGAUUGCGAAGGCAGCUCACUGGAGCGCAACUGACGCUGAAGCUCGAAAGUGCGGGUAUCGAACAGG